GACGAACGCUGGCGGCGUGCCUAAUACAUGCAAGUAGAACGCUGAAGAGAGGAGCUUGCUCUUCUUUGAUGAGUCGCGAACGGGUGAGUAACGCGUAGGUAACCUGCCUGGUAGCGGGGGAUAACUAUUGGAAACGAUAGCUAAUACCGCAUAAAAUCGAUUAUUGCAUGAUAAUUAAUUGAAAGAUGCAACUGCAGCACUACCAGAUGGACCUGCGUUGUAUUAGCUAGUUGGUGAGGUACCGGCUCACCAAGGCGACGAUACAUAGCCCAACUGAGAGGGCGGUCGGCCAGCCUGGGAGGGUGACCGGGCCCAGAGGGACACGGGAGGCAGCAAGAGGGCAACGUGGGGAAGGGGGGGAAACCUGAGCGAGAUAGGCCGAAGCAGGGAAGAACGGUGUCGGAUCGGAAAGCACGGUUGUCAGGGAAGAACGCGCGUGCGAGUGUAACGUUCCCAGUGUGACGGUAACUUAUCAGAAAGGAACGGCUAACUACGUG
rnacentral:rRNA from 1 species